GAGUCACCUUGAAUAAGUACAUGGUUAUCUUCUGCUUUAGACAGAAGGAUAAAAUGAUAGGGCUAGCCUCAGGCUACCCUCAAGAGAUUAGAGACAUGGGAGCUCAAGGAUGGAAGAGAGGAAUAGGAAAGCAGCCCAUCCCUCCUCCAACACUGGGUUUUGGCACAUCUCAUUGACAGGGUUCCUUAGAAAACCGUGCAAUUAAUUCCUCCUUAGGUGAUUUUAAGAGAGACAGAAAAGAAGUAGGCGGUAGAGAAGGGAAAGGAGAACAGGGUAUCUAUAUAUAUAGUCUACUCCCUGGGGCAGGAGCUCUUUAUAGAUAACAAACUCUUAAGUGGAAAGGAGCUGUUUUAUGAACAUACUUUGCCUCUUGGCUUUGGGCCAUGAGAACAUGACAGUAGGCAAAAUGGCUAGGGAUAGAGGGGAGGUCAGGGUGUACAGGGGUAUUGAGAUCAGUCUACAAGCCCUGUUCUAUGCCAGGCCCUGACCUAGGUGCUAAGGGUACAAAAACCAGAAAAAAUGAGACAGUCCCCGUCCUCAAGGUGCUUACCUUCUCUGGGGGGAACAACACAUAUACUUAUAAGCAAAUACCAUACAAAGCCAUCUAUGGGGAGGGGACUCACUAGCAUUUGGGUGAUCAGGAGAGGAGGUCUCAGGAAGGACUUUGCAAUUGAAGCUUUAUAGGAAAGCUAGGGAUUCUGAGAGGGAGAGGGAAAGAGGGAGUGUAUUCCAGGUAUGGAACAGUAGGCAAAAAUCUCAGAACUGGGUGUGAACUGUCUCCAAGCAAUCCUGAUAUUCCACCUAGCCAGAGAAGCUAAAAGAUGGGUGACAUUGGUGUUCGUGGACAGCAGUGACCCGAUGGUGCUCGCUACUUCAGCUCUGCUGGCUUGCAUGCAUUGUGGGUGGCAGUUGGCUGGCAGUUGGUGGGGAUGACGGGUCCCUUUUCCACAGGACUUGCCUACGUGGAAGAUGGCUAUGAGAGCUGGUCUGGGCACAGGACCAGUGAUCUGGGGAGGGCUUUCACCCCCAGGGCUCCUGUGCUUAUCAGUUAUGAAGAGGACAACCAGUGACUUAAGUUGUAGGCAACGUUAUGUGAGGAUGGCUUUCAGGAUCAACUCAAGGAUUAGACCUGAGAUUUCCUUGGCAUAGGGAGCUUCCAGAUAAGAAAAGUCUUUCUGCCAAUGUAGAUGUUGAUAUUCCAUUCCCAAGGUGGACGUGUCUGCAUUUGGAAGUGACCUGUUGAGUUCUAGAGGUUCUGAAGUCAGGGGUCCAGUGAGAGGAAAUAGUUUUGGCAAAGGCAAGGAGAAGAGUGGAGGAAGUAUGGCUACGAACAAAAGGACUGGCUCAAAUCUGGCUAUUUUCCAGCCCACAUGCUUGGAUAAUCCUGGGCCAAGGUGAAAUGUAAAAUGCUUCAUUAGAAGUGCUGCUAACGACUUGAUGUUCUAAUGAAUUUUAAGUGUCUGUUUCCUAGCAAAUUGAAAGAAAUAAUUAUAAGUUAAGUCACUGAGUCCCGUUUAAGUGUAUUUUUGUUAGUCAUGCUGGUGAGGAUCCUGGGCUUAACAUUCCUUUUGUGUGUAGGAGUAAGUUUACCUGUCAGCCUGCACUUGGAAUAUCUUGUUUACUCCUUCUGGGGAAGGCCCUGGAGCCAACAAUAAAGUCUUCCCUGAGGGAUGAUUUUACUUUACU
ensembl:lncRNA